UGUCCUACGGGGGGCAGCAGUGGGGAAUAUUGGACAAUGGGGGCAACCCUGAUCCAGCCAUGCCGCGUGAGUGAUGAAGGCCCUAGGGUUGUAAAGCUCUUUUGUGCGGGAAGAUAAUGACGGUACCGCAAGAAUAAGCCCCGGCUAACUUCGUGCCAGCAGCCGCGGUAAUACGAAGGGGGCUAGCGUUGCUCGGAAUCACUGGGCGUAAAGGGUGCGUAGGCUGGUCUUUAAGUCAGAGGUGAAAUCCUGGAGCUCAACUCCAGAACGGCCUUUGAUACUGAGGAUCUUGAGGGCGGGAGAGGUGAGUGGAACUGCGAGUGUAGAGGUGAAAUUCGUAGAUAUUCGCAAGAACACCAGUGGCGAAGGCGGCUCACUGGCCCGAUACUGACGCUGAGGCACGAAAGCGUGGGGAGCAAACAGGAUUAGAUACCCGAGUAGUCUU
rnacentral:rRNA from 1 species